rnacentral:SRP_RNA from 1 species
GCUGGGCGUGGUGGCGUGCGCCUGUAAUCCAGCUACAUGGAGGCCGGGUGGCGGGAGUCGUCGUCGCUGGGAGUUCCACACUGCACGCGCGCAUGUGGAUCGGGCGUCCACGCCAAGCACGGCGUCGAUAUGGCGGCCAUGUCGGAGGACUGUGACCGCCAGGUCGUCUAAGGAGGGGUGGACCGGGCGAGGGGGGAAACCCAGCAGCCAAAAGCUCCCACGUGGUGCAGUGGCGGGAUAGCGCCUGUGAAUGGCGAGUGCAGGAUGGCCCAGAGGGCGUGCGACCACUUCCACCUUU